GGAAUGUCUGUCCUAAUACCAUGGCGUUAUUUAGCGUCAUGGCUUCGCUUUCAGACGAAAAUAACUCUUCAAAUUUAUCCUAGUGUAAUUAUGUUCUAAAUGAAAAUUGCACUGGCAUUUUGAAGAUACAAAG
rnacentral:snoRNA from 1 species